rnacentral:rRNA from 1 species
UGGGGAAUAUUGGACAAUGGGCGAAAGCCUGAUCCAGCCAUGCCGCGUGUGUGAAGAAGGUCUUCGGAUUGUAAAGCACUUUAAGUUGGGAGGAAGGGCAUUAACCUAAUACGUUAGUGUUUUGACGUUACCGACAGAAUAAGCACCGGCUAACUCUGUGCCAGCAGCCGCGGUAAUACAGAGGGUGCAAGCGUUAAUCGGAAUUACUGGGCGUAAAGCGCGCGUAGGUGGUUUGUUAAGUUGGAUGUGAAAGCCCCGGGCUCAACCUUGGAACUGCAUCCAAAACUGGCAAGCUAGAGUACGGUAGAGGGUGGUGGAAUUUCCUGUGUAGCGGUGAAAUGCGUAGAUAUAGGAAGGAACACCAGUGGCGAAGGCGACCACCUGGACUGAUACUGACACUGAGGUGCGAAAGCGUGGGGAGCAAACA